rfam:Trichuris muris Edinburgh genomic scaffold, scaffold21
UUCUUUGGUUAUCUAGCUGUAUGAGUAUAUAAAGUGCAUCAUAAAGCUAGGUUACCAAAGCU